GAUUAACGCUAGCGGCAGGCAUAAUACAUGCAAGUUGAACGGCAGCACAGGUAGCAAUACUGGGUGGCGAGUGGCGCACGGGUGCGUAACACGUAUGCAACCUACCCUAUACAGGCGAAUAACCUUUAGAAAUGAGGGCUAAUACGCCGUAGUAUUACAGAUGGGCAUCUAUUUGUAAUUAAAGAUUUAUCGGUAUAGGAUGGGCAUGCGUCCCAUUAGUUAGUUGGUAAGGUAACGGCUUACCAAGACGAUGAUGGGUAGGGGAUCUGAGAGGACUUACCCCCACACUGGGACUGAGACACGGACCAGACUCCUACGGGAGGCAGCAGUAAGGAAUAUAGGGCAGUGGCCGCUAGGCUGACCCAGCCAUGCCGCGUGCAGGAAGACGGCCUUAGGGGUUGUAAACUGCUUUUAUACGAGAAUAAUAGAGUGUACGCGUACAUUUAUGAAAGUAUCGUAUGAAUAAGCAUCGGCUAACUCCGUG
rnacentral:rRNA from 1 species